GACGAACCGUGCGAACGUUGUUCGGAUUCACUGGGCUUAAAGGGCGCGUAGGCGGACUCGCAAGUCUGUGGUGAAAGCCCCCAGCUCAACUGGGGAAGUGCCGUGGAUACUGUGAGUCUGGAGGAGGGUAGGGGCAUCUGGAACGCUGGGUGGAGCGGUGAAAUGCGUUGAUAUCCAGCGGAACUCCGGUGGCGAAGGCGAGGUGCUGGACCCUUUCUGACGCUGAGGCGCGAAAGCCAGGGGAGCAAACGGG
rnacentral:rRNA from 1 species